rnacentral:rRNA from 1 species
UACGUAGGGGGCAAGCGUUGUCCGGAAUCAUUGGGCGUAAAGAGCGUGUAGGCGGUUCGGUAAGUCGGCUGUGAAAGUCCAGGGCUCAACCCUGGAAUGCCGGUGGAUACUGUCGGGCUCGAGUCCGGAAGAGGCGAGUGGAAUUCCUGGUGUAGCGGUGAAAUGCGCAGAUAUCAGGAGGAACACCGAUGGCGAAGGCAGCUCGCUGGGACGGUACUGACGCUGAGACGCGAAAGCGUGGGGAGCGAACAGG